rnacentral:lncRNA from 1 species
GGGUAGGACAGGGCGGGGCAGGGCGCAGGAGGACAGGGUGACCUGGGCAGCCUGACCUGGAAUAAUCGAACAGGGGUGAGCAGAGAUGGUGGAGGCAGAGGUGGGGAAGCUCCUGGGUGCCUUGGGGGCCUCAGGAAGGAGGCCGAGGCAGCCCCCUUUGCACGGCCAUGCCCAGCAGCCUCCAGAAGACAUGUUCUUUGCUUCUCACAGCCGAUCAUCUCUGGAGAGCCUGCUCAGACCUGCCCUCCCCACAAAGCACGCUGCAGAUGUCUGGGGUCAUCCGCCGCUUUGAGAAAUCUGAUGGCUUCACCCCUCUCGCUCCUGUCCCCGGGUCUCCCCCAGCUGCGGCUGAGACAUUCAAACCACAACCUCCCUCUUUGCCUGGUAAUUGAUCCUCCUUUGCCCUACAACUUGGGUUUGGUCUUAAUUUGCCCAGGGACUAAAUAAAGGCAAGAAGGGACGGGCA